GUGCUUGCUUUGGCAGCACAUAUACUAAAAUUUGAACAAUACAGGGUAGAUUAGUAUGGCCCUUAGGCAAGGAUGACACACACAUUAGUAAAGCGUUCCAUAUUUUU